AGUACCUGAAACCGUUGGUCUACAAACAGUCAAAGCAGACUUGUUCUGCGAUGGCGUGCCUUUUGAAGAAUGAGCCAACGAGUUACGGUGUGUGGCAAGGUUAACCCGAUGAGGGGAAGCCGGAGCGAAAGCGAGUCUGAACAGGGCGUUCAGUCGCAUGCCGUAGACCCGAAGCCGAGUGAGCUAUCCAUGGGCAGUGUGAAGCGGAGGUAAGACUCUGUGGAGGCGCGAACCGACUUCAGUUGAAAAUGGAGCGGAUGACCUGUGGAUAGGGGUGAAAGGCCAAUCAAACUCGGUGAUAGCUGGUUCUCCGCGAAAUGCAUUUAGGUGCAGCGUCGUGCGUUCAACGAUGGGGGUAGAGCACUGAAUGGGCUAGGGGUCCUACAAGACUACCGACCCCAAUCAAACUCCGAAUACCAUCGUUCCAGAGCACGGCAGUGAGACCUCGGGGGAUGAGCUUCGAGGUCGAGAGGGAAACAGCCCAGACCGCCGGCUAAGGUCCCAAAAUCUGAACUAAGUGGUAAACGAUGUGAGAUUGCGAAGACAGCCAGGAGGUUGGCUUGGAAGCAGCCAUCCUUGAAAGAGUGCGUAACAGCUCACUGGUCGAGUGAUCUUGCGCGGACAAUGUAACGGGGCUCAAGUUCAGUACCGAAGCCGCGGAUGCGACUCUUUGAGUCGUGUGGUAGCGGAGCGUCGAGCGUGCAGCGAAGCGGCGGGACAACCCAGCCGUGGAGCGCGUUCGAGUGCGAAUGUUGGCAUGAGUAGCGAAUGAGGGGUGAGAACCCCCUCCGCCGUAUGUCCAAGGGUUCCUGGGCGAGGCCAAUCCUCCCAGGGUGAGUCGGGAGCUAAGGCGAGGCCGAGAGGCGUAGUCGAUGCACAACUGGUUGAUAUUCCAGUACCACCAUGUUCGCGUCCGUCCCAAUACUCUGUUGCUAAGGGGCUGUGUUGACUUCGGUCAACGCGAACCGACCCACAUUGUUGCGGGAAGCUGUAGGGGGACGCAGGAAGGUAGAUGAACCCGGUGAAUGGUAGAACCGGGGUAAGCGUGUAGGAGGAGGACCAGGUAAAUCCGGGCCUCAUAAACUCUGAGACGUGAUACCGAGCCGCUUCAGGCGAAGUCAUUGAUCCUAUGCUGCCUAGAAAAGCCCAGCAGCGAGUUGACAUGGUGCCCGUACCCCAAACCAACACAGGUGGACAGGUAGAGCAUACCAAGGCGAGUGGGAUAACUAUGGUUAAGGAACUCGGCAAAUUGCCUCCGUAACUUCGGGAGAAGGAGGACCCCAGUAGCGUGAUGAGACUUGCUCUCUGAGCGUGAAGGGGCGGCACAAAAUUGAGGGAAGCGACUGUUUACCAAAAACACAGCAGCGUGCUAAGCCGUAAGGCGCUGUAUACGCUGUGACUCCUGCCCGGUGCUGGAAGGUUACGGGGAUGGGUUAGUCCUUCGGGACGAAGCUCUGAACCUAAGCCCCAGUAAACGGCGGCCGUAACUAUAACGGUCCUAAGGUAGCGAAAUUCCUUGUCGGGUAAGUUCCGACCUGCACGAAUGGAGUAACGACUUCCCUACUGUCUCAACCAUAGACCCAGCGAAAUUGAAGUACGAGUAAAGAUGCUCGUUAGCUGCAGAAGGACGGAAAGACCCCGUGGACCUUUACUAUAACUUGAUGUUGUGUUUUGUCAUAUGUUGUGUAGGAUAGGUGGGAGACUUGGAAGCAUGGACGCUAGUCUGUGUGGAGUCAUCGC
rnacentral:rRNA from 1 species